rnacentral:rRNA from 1 species
GAUGAACGCUGGCGGCGUGCCUAAUACAUGCAAGUCGAGCGAACAGACGAGGAGCUUGCUCCUCUGACGUUAGCGGCGGACGGGUGAGUAACACGUGGAUAACCUACCUAUAAGACUGGGAUAACUUCGGGAAACCGGAGCUAAUACCGGAUAAUAUAUUGAACCGCAUGGUUCAAUAGUUAAAUACGGUUUUUCUGUCACUUAUAGAUUGAUCCGCGCCGCAUUAGCUAGUUGGUAAGGUAACGGCUUACCAAGGCAACGAUGCGUAGCUGACCUGAGAGGGUGGUCGGCCACACUGGAACUGAGACACGGUCCAGACUCCUACGGGAGGAAGCAGUAGGGAAUCUUCCGCGAUGGGCGAGAGCCUGACGGAGCAACGCCGCGUGAGUGAUGAAGGUCUUCGGAUCGUAAAACUCUGUUAUUAGGGAAGAACAAAUGUGUAAGUACCUAUGCACGUCUUGACGGUACCUAAUCAGAAAGCCACGGCUAACUCCGUG